rnacentral:rRNA from 1 species
CAAGCGGUGGAGCAUGUGGUUUAAUUCGAUGCAACGCGAAGAACCUUACCUACUCUUGACAUCCAGCGAACUUAGCAGAGAUGCUUUGGUGCCUUCGGGAACGCUGAGACAGGUGCUGCAUGGCUGUCGUCAGCUCGUGUUGUGAAAUGUUGGGUUAAGUCCCGCAACGAGCGCAACCCUUAUCCUUUGUUGCCAGCGAUACGGUCGGGGACUCAAAGGAGACUGCCGGUGAUAAACCGGAGGAAGGUGGGGAUGACGUCAAGUCAUCACGGCCCUUACGAGUAGGGCUACACACGUGCUACAAUGGCGCAUACAAAGAGAAGCGACCUCGCGAGAGCAAGCGGACCUCAGAAAGUGCGUCGUAGUCCGGAUCGGAGUCUGCAACUCGACUCCGUGAAGUCGGAAUCGCUAGUAAUCGUGGAUCAGAAUGCCACGGUGAAUACGUUCCCGGGCCUUGUACACACC